CCAGCAGCCGCGGUAAUUCCAGCUCCAAUAGCGUAUAUUAAAGUUGUUGCAGUUAAAAAGCUCGUAGUUGGAUUUCUGGUGGAAGUGACCGGUCUGUCCCUAGUGGAUGUGAACUUGUGUUUACUUUUGCCAUCCUUGGGGAGAGCGUGCCUGGCAUUAGGUUGUCGGGUUCGGGAUCCCCAUCCUUUACUGUGAAAAAAUUAGAGUGUUUAAAGCAGGCUUAUGCCAUUGAAUACAUUAGCAUGGAAUAAUAAGAUAGGACUUUGGUGGUCUAUUUUGUUGGUUUGCACACCAAGGUAAUGAUUAAUAGGGAUAGUUGGGGGUAUCCGUAUUUCGUAGUCAGAGGUGAAAUUCUUGGAUUUACGAAAGACGAACUACUGCGAAAGCAUUUACCAAGGAUGUUUUCAUUAAUCAAGAACGAAAGU
rnacentral:rRNA from 1 species